UACGGAGGGUGCAAGCGUUAUCCGGAUUCACUGGGUUUAAAGGGUGCGUAGGCGGGCAGUUAAGUCAGUGGUGAAAGCCCGGAGCUCAACUUCGGAACUGCCAUUGAUACUGAUAGACUUGAGUACAGAUGAAGUGGGCGGAAUGUGACAAGUAGCGGUGAAAUGCUUAGAUAUGUCACAGAACACCGAUUGCGAAGGCAGCUCACUAAAGUGUAACUGACGCUGAGGCACGAAAGCGUGGGGAUCAAACAGG
rnacentral:rRNA from 1 species